ACACAGAAGGCCCUGACUCACACAUAAAGACCAAAGACAAGAGAUCAUCAAAGACUGAGAGAAAUGAAUUGUGCAGAACCCAGAAAGAAAGACCUGAGCCAGAUGAGCCUUAUGAUUCCAACUCAGAUGAAGGCCCUGACUCACACAUAAAGACCAAAGACAAGAGAUCAUCAAAGACUGAGAGAAAUGAAUUGUGCAGAACCCAGACCUGAGCCAGACGAGCCUUAUGAUUCCAACUCAGAUGAAGGCCCUGACUCACACAUAAAAACCAAAGACAAGAGAUCAUCAAAGACUGAGAGAAAUUGUUCUCCUAGGCAGAAGAGUGGGAAAAGGCCCUGGAGUGAUGCUGAAAAAAAGGCAGUUCCUGGCAAAGACAAGUGUACCAAGAGAAAGAACCAGUGCUACAAAACAGGGACUGGAAAGAUAUUUAAAAUCAUGUGCACAAUAUCAUUCAAUCUUGAAAGAAAAAAAGUUGAUUAACUUUUUGUGUGUAAAACAUGUUUUUUUAUGCUUAAAGAGAUAGUUUAUUCAAAAUUGAAAAUAAGUAUGAGUAAUUUGACAUCUUAAAUUGAUGGGUAAUUUUUUUACUGUUUAGGAGCACGUUUGUUUGGAAAUAGGCUUAUUCUCCCACUCCCCCACUGUUAAUAAGUUAAGUUUUACCCUUUUGGAAUCUAUUCAGUCCAUCUCCGGGUCUGGCGAUAACACUUUUAGCAUACAUCAUUAAAUCUAAUUAGACCAUUAACAUCACAUGUAACCUGGAGAUCGGCUGAAUAGAUUUAAAAAAGGUUCAACUUAACUUAUAACUGCGGGGAAGUUGGAAAACAAGCACAUUUCCAAAUAAAGGGAAGUGUUGGCCUUGUAAGCCAUUGAUAUAUAUUGAGGUUUGAUUUUGACAGGCUUUGGAUUCAUCAUUUUCAUUAAAAUUAUAUAUACAAGUAUAUAUUCUUGAAUAUUCAAAUAAAUGUCUUCUGAUUUCUUAUUUUGGAGGAUGAAUUGUGGUGGAUGUCAAACCUUUUAUCUUAAGUUCAUACAACAGGUUUAAAAUUAUAAUUAUAAAAAAAACUUGAAAUGGUAUUGGUUAAUGUAAAUGUUCAUCAUAGAUUUAUUAUGUUACAAACAAAAUUAACAGAUUAAUUUUGUUAAUAAUUUUCUAAUAGCACUUCACAAUUUUAUUGAUUCACUGACAACAAAUAUGUAAAAAAAAUUAACCAUGGUUUUACUACAGUUAAAAAAAAAAACAUGGUUACUGUAGUAAAACCAUGGUAACCACAAAAUAACCAUGGUUUUGACA